GCCAGAGUGGCGGAACCGGCAGACGCGCCAGACUCAAAAUCUGGUGACCGUAAGGUCGUGAGGGUUCGAGUCCCUCCUCUGGCACCA
rnacentral:tRNA from 1 species